AGAGUUUGAUCCUGGCUCAGGACGAACGCUGGCGGCGUGCUUAACACAUGCAAGUCGAACGAUGAAGCCUUUCGGGGUGGAUUAGUGGCGAACGGGUGAGUAACACGUGGGCAAUCUGCCUGCACUCUGGGACAAGCCCUGGAAACGGGGUCUAAUACCGGAUAUGACUACUGCGGGCAUCCGUGGUGGUGGAAAGCUCC
rnacentral:rRNA from 1 species